rnacentral:rRNA from 1 species
CGCACGGGUGAGUAACACGUAUCCAACCUGCCGUCUACUCUUGGACAGCCUUCUGAAAGGAAGAUUAAUACAAGAUGGCAUCAUGAGUCCGCAUGUUCACAUGAUUAAAGGUAUUCCGGUAGACGAUGGGGAUGCGUUCCAUUAGAUAGUAGGCGGGGUAACGGCCCACCUAGUCUUCGAUGGAUAGGGGUUCUGAGAAAGGUCCCCCACAUUGGAACUGAGACACGGUCCAA